rnacentral:tRNA from 1 species
UUCCUGGUGGUCCAGUGGUUAAGAUUCUGAGCUCCCAAUGCAGAGGGCCCAGGUGCGUUCCCUGGUCAGGGAA